rnacentral:rRNA from 1 species
GGUUAAGCGACUAAGCGUACACGGUGGAUGCCCUGGCAGUCAGAGGCGAUGAAGGACGUGCUAAUCUGCGAAAAGCGUCGGUAAGGUGAUAUGAACCGUUAUAACCGGCGAUGUCCGAAUGGGGAAACCCAGUGUGAUUCGUCACACUAUCGUUAACUGAAUACAUAGGUUAACGAGGCGAACCGGGGGAACUGAAACAUCUAAGUACCCCGAGGAAAAGAAAUCAACCGAGAUUCCCCCAGUAGCGGCGAGCGAACGGGGAGCAGCCCAGAGUCUGAAUCAGCUUGUGUGUUAGUGGAACGGUCUGGAAAGUCCGACGGUACAGGGUGAUAGUCCCGUACACCAAAAUGCACAGGCUGUGAACUCGAAGAGUAGGGCGGGACACGUGGUAUCCUGUCUGAAUAUGGGGGGACCAUCCUCCAAGGCUAAAUACUCCUGACUGACCGAUAGUGAACCAGUACCGUGAGGGAAAGGCGAAAAGAACCCCGGCGAGGGGAGUGAAAAAGAACCUGAAACCGUGUACGUACAAGCAGUGGGAGCACCUUCGGGUGUGACUGCGUACCUUUUGUAUAAUGGGUCAGCGACUUAUAUUCUGUAGCAAGGUUAACCGUAUAGGGGAGCCGCAGGGAAACCGAGUCUUAACUGGGCGUUAAGUUGCAGGGUAUAGACCCGAAACCCGGUGAUCUAGCCAUGGGCAGGUUGAAGGUUGGGUAACACUAACUGGAGGACCGAACCGACUAAUGUUGAAAAAUUAGCGGAUGACUUGUGGCUGGGGGUGAAAGGCCAAUCAAACCGGGAGAUAGCUGGUUCUCCCCGAAAGCUAUUUAGGUAGCGCCUCGUGAACUCAUCUUCGGGGGUAGAGCACUGUUUCGGCUAGGGGGUCAUCCCGACUUACCAACCCGAUGCAAACUACGAAUACCGAAGAAUGUUAUCACGGGAGACACACGGCGGGUGCUAACGUCCGUCGUGAAGAGGGAAACAACCCAGACCGCCAGCUAAGGUCCCAAAGUCAUGGUUAAGUGGGAAACGAUGUGGGAAGGCACAGACAGCCAGGAUGUUGGCUUAGAAGCAGCCAUCAUUUAAAGAAAGCGUAAUAGCUCACUGGUCGAGUCGGCCUGCGCGGAAGAUGUAACGGGGCUAAACCAUGCACCGAAGCUGCGGCAGCGACACUAUGUGUUGUUGGGUAGGGGAGCGUUCUGUAAGCCUGCGAAGGUGUGCUGUGAGGCAUGCUGGAGGUAUCAGAAGUGCGAAUGCUGACAUAAGUAACGAUAAAGCGGGUGAAAAGCCCGCUCGCCGGAAGACCAAGGGUUCCUGUCCAACGUUAAUCGGGGCAGGGUGAGUCGACCCCUAAGGCGAGGCCGAAAGGCGUAGUCGAUGGGAAACAGGUUAAUAUUCCUGUACUUGGUGUUACUGCGAAGGGGGGACGGAGAAGGCUAUGUUAGCCGGGCGACGGUUGUCCCGGUUUAAGCAUGUAGGCUGGUUAUCCAGGCAAAUCCGGAUAAUCAAGGCUGAGGUGUGAUGACGAGGCACUACGGUGCUGAAGUAACAAAUGCCCUGCUUCCAGGAAAAGCCUCUAAGCAUCAGGUAACAUCAAAUCGUACCCCAAACCGACACAGGUGGUCAGGUAGAGAAUACCAAGGCGCUUGAGAGAACUCGGGUGAAGGAACUAGGCAAAAUGGUGCCGUAACUUCGGGAGAAGGCACGCUGGUGUGUAGGUGAAGUCCCUGCGGAUGGAGCUGAGACCAGUCGAAGAUACCAGCUGGCUGCAACUGUUUAUUAAAAACACAGCACUGUGCAAACACGAAAGUGGACGUAUACGGUGUGACGCCUGCCCGGUGCCGGAAGGUUAAUUGAUGGGGUUAUCCGUAAGGAGAAGCUCUUGAUCGAAGCCCCGGUAAACGGCGGCCGUAACUAUAACGGUCCUAAGGUAGCGAAAUUCCUUGUCGGGUAAGUUCCGACCUGCACGAAUGGCGUAAUGAUGGCCAGGCUGUCUCCACCCGAGACUCAGUGAAAUUGAACUCGCUGUGAAGAUGCAGUGUACCCGCGGCAAGACGGAAAGACCCCGUGAACCUUUACUAUAGCUUGACACUGAACAUUGAGCCUUGAUGUGUAGGAUAGGUGGGAGGCUUUGAAGCGUGGACGCCAGUCUGCGUGGAGCCAACCUUGAAAUACCACCCUUUAAUGUUUGAUGUUCUAACGUUGGCCCCUGACCGGGGUUGCGGACAGUGUCUGGUGGGUAGUUUGACUGGGGCGGUCUCCUCCCAAAGCGUAACGGAGGAGCACGAAGGUUAGCUAAUCCUGGUCGGACAUCAGGAGGUUAGUGCAAUGGCAUAAGCUAGCUUGACUGCGAGCGUGACGGCGCGAGCAGGUGCGAAAGCAGGUCAUAGUGAUCCGGUGGUUCUGAAUGGAAGGGCCAUCGCUCAACGGAUAAAAGGUACUCCGGGGAUAACAGGCUGAUACCGCCCAAGAGUUCAUAUCGACGGCGGUGUUUGGCACCUCGAUGUCGGCUCAUCACAUCCUGGGGCUGAAGUAGGUCCCAAGGGUAUGGCUGUUCGCCAUUUAAAGUGGUACGCGAGCUGGGUUUAGAACGUCGUGAGACAGUUCGGUCCCUAUCUGCCGUGGGCGCUGGAGAAUUGAGGGGGGCUGCUCCUAGUACGAGAGGACCGGAGUGGACGCAUCACUGGUGUUCGGGUUGUCAUGCCAAUGGCACUGCCCGGUAGCUAAAUGCGGAAGAGAUAAGUGCUGAAAGCAUCUAAGCACGAAACUUGCCCCGAGAUGAGUUCUCCCUGAGACUUUAAGUCUCCUGAAGGAACGUUGAAGACGACGACGUUGAUAGGCCGGGUGUGUAAGCGCAGCGAUGCGUUGAGCUAACCGGUACUAAUGAACCGUGAGGCUUAACCUU